rnacentral:rRNA from 1 species
AGCGAACGCUGGCGGCAGGCCUAAUACAUGCAAGUCGAACGAAGCCUUCGGGCUUAGUGGCGGACGGGUGAGUAACACGUGGGAACGUACCUUUUGGUUCGGAACAACUCAGGGAAACUUGAGCUAAUACCGGAUGAGCCCUUAGGGGGAAAGAUUUAUCGCCGAAAGAGCGGCCCGCGUUAGAUUAGCUAGUUGGUGAGGUAAAGGCUCACCAAGGCUACGAUCUAUAGCUGGUCUGAGAGGAUGACCAGCCACACUGGGACUGAGACACGGCCCAGACUCCUACGGGAGGCAGCAGUGGGAAUCUUGCGCAAUGGGCGAAAGCCUGACGCAGCCAUGCCGCGUGAAUGAUGAAGGUCUUAGGAUUGUAAAAUUCUUUUACCAGGGACGAUAAUGACGGUACCUGGAGAAAAAGCCCCGGCUAACUUCGUGCCAGCCGCCGCCGUAAAAC